GAGAAUGGAGGGGAGGGAAAUUCAUUGAAUAUAUAUCUUACUUUUUAGGAGAUAGAAGCACAUUUCAUAAAUGUGACCUUGUCAUCAGCACCACUGCAUCCAUUCCCCUACAAAGGACUCAGAUUUAUUCUUCUUUAUGGCAGAGUAGAAUUCCACUGUGUGUUUCUACCUUGCUGUUUGCAGCUGCCAUGAACUGCGGCCCACCAUGCCACCCUGCUUUGGAAUCAACUGAGAAUGGACUGAAACCUCCAAAACCUGCCCAAGAGUGACAGAGAAAACUAAUCAUGGAUUGAAAUCUCCAAAACUCUUGGACUCCAAAAGACAUCUACAGAAGAAGCUGGUACUCUUCACAAAGAGUGACCUAUAAAUCUUGUUCCAGGAUAGAAUAACCAAGAGGAGAGGAAACAGGAAUUGGGGAACCCUGAGUGGAGGUGAAUUCCACCACUGAUUGAGGUCCACCAUCGGCUGAGGACAGAGGUCAUGCCUGUCUUCUCCUUUCUGUCUCCUCUACUGUCUGGUUUCUGGAGCUGAGCCUGUCACACUUCAACCUAGACCCCCAGGACAGUGCCCUGUUGUCUGCCUUGAUCCACUCUAAUUCUUCUUCGAAUACACUCGAGCUACUGCAGCAGCUUUGCCACAAUACAAGUGACAAGAGAAUUUAAGUCUGCUGGGGUGGUCCUUAGCCAGUUACUGGCAGAUAGGGAUAACACUUGACACCCCGGAGUCACUCUGAUGAAUGAAGCUGAAUCUGUCCCACUCUGAGACUUCACUUGAGAUGUGCACUUGCAUGUUCCUUUAUCUUCUUGUUCCCAGACACACUGUGUCCUGACUCCUUCCCCCGCGCACUGAGCACCAACCUCCUUCCUCGUCCUCCAGUGUAGCACAAUGUUGCUCGAUACAGUGGAUUGAUAAGUGUUUACUGAAUGAAAAUUGGCUGUGGACCAACCUGAAAGCAGAUAAUCAAUAUACUGAUGAAUGUUAUCAUUUGUUUAUGCAACAAGUAUUACUAUGGGGCAGUCUUCCAUGUAUUUAUUAUUUUACCAUUUCAUGAAAACAAGCAUGACUCCUCUCAUGAGUCACAGAAGGGUGAUUCUAUUUUUUUUUUUUUUUAAGCGGUUCCGAGGAUCGAACUCAUGACCACCUGCUUGCAAGGCAGGGGCUCAUGCCACUGAGCUAAAUCCCCAGCCCUGGAUGAUUCUAUUUUUAACCUAAGGAUACUUGUCAUCUUUAGUUUUUUUUUUUUUUUCUAUCAUAUAAAUUGUGAAAAUUUGUUAAAUUUCACAGUCACCAAAUCUGGUUAACACAUUUAAUUAAUAUAUGAUUUUAAUAGUUAACUUGCACAGAUAGUUCAUAUAGUAUUUUUAACACUAAACAGCACUCUCAUUGCUUUUGAAGCAGAACACUCAAUUUUUCUAAAGAAAACAAAAGAUACUUGUGGAUAUCAAUUUUAAAAAAUACUGAUGGAGUGAAGGACUGUUUUAAAAUUAUGCAAUCUAGACUUAGGAAAUAAGGCCAGUAAACACUGAAAAACAGGACUUUUUAGUAUAACUUUUCCAGGAAACUUAAUUUUGUUUGAAUUAAAACUCAUAUGCACAUACACAAGCAUGUGUGUACACAUACAGAAAACAUUAAGGAAGAGGUUCUUUUAAUUAUAAAUGCUAUCUGCUUACAUAUAUUUUCCUAUGGCAUGUUUCAGGUUUAACUUGGCACCGUGCAUGUUCCCAAACCAUUUUACUCUUCACACAAGCAUGUGGACUACUUAAUGUAUUCUCACUCUAGUUCUCAAAACCAUUUGCAUAUUGAAACUAUGCAUACAUUUUAAAGUCUUAAUUAGUUUAAUUUGUAUUAUAAAUGCAUGCUCUUAUAGAAAAAAAGAUAUACAUAGUACGACACUUGGAGAAAAAGAGGAAUUAUGGAAGCAUUUAAUGAACUACAAUAAAGUUAUCCAAGAUCUAAUCACCCA